CAGAAAAUAGUUUAUAAAAAAUAUUAAUUUUGGAGAUUAAUGAAAAAUAAUUUUAUUUUUUUCUGA
rnacentral:tRNA from 1 species